rnacentral:rRNA from 1 species
GACGAACGCUGGCGGCGUGCUUAACACAUGCAAGUCGAACGGAAAGGCCCUGCUUUUGUGGGGUGCUCGAGUGGCGAACGGGUGAGUAACACGUGAGUAACCUGCCCUUGACUUUGGGAUAACUUCAGGAAACUGGGGCUAAUACCGGAUAGGAGCUCCUGCUGCAUGGUGGGGGUUGGAAAGUUUCGGCGGUUGGGGAUGGACUCGCGGCUUAUCAGCUUGUUGGUGGGGUAGUGGCUUACCAAGGCUUUGACGGGUAGCCGGCCUGAGAGGGUGACCGGCCACAUUGGGACUGAGAUACGGCCCAGACUCCUACGGGAGGCAGCAGUGGGGAAUAUUGCACAAUGGGCGGAAGCCUGAUGCAGCAACGCCGCGUGCGGGAUGACGGCCUUCGGGUUGUAAACCGCUUUCGCCUGUGACGAAGCGUGAGUGACGGUAAUGGGUAAAGAAGCACCGGCUAACUACGUGCCAGCAGCCGCGGUGAUACGUAGGGUGCGAGCGUUGUCCGGAUUUAUUGGGCGUAAAGGGCUCGUAGGUGGUUGAUCGCGUCGGAAGUGUAAUCUUGGGGCUUAACCCUGAGCGUGCUUUCGAUACGGGUUGACUUGAGGAAGGUAGGGGAGAAUGGAAUUCCUGGUGGAGCGGUGGAAUGCGCAGAUAUCAGGAGGAACACCAGUGGCGAAGGCGGUUCUCUGGGCCUUUCCUGACGCUGAGGAGCGAAAGCGUGGGGAGCGAACAGGCUUAGAUACCCUGGUAGUCCACGCUGUAAACGGUGGGUACUAGGUGUGGGGUCCAUUCCACGGGUUCCGUGCCGUAGCUAACGCUUUAAGUACCCCGCCUGGGGAGUACGGCCGCAAGGCUAAAACUCAAAGGAAUUGACGGGGCCCCGCACAAGCGGCGGAGCAUGCGGAUUAAUUCGAUGCAACGCGUAGAACCUUACCUGGGUUUGACAUGGAUCGGGAGCGCUCAGAGAUGGGUGUGCCUCUUUUGGGGUCGGUUCACAGGUGGUGCAUGGCUGUCGUCAGCUCGUGUCGUGAGAUGCUGGGUUAAGUCCCGCAACGAGCGCAACCCUUGUUCACUGUUGCCAGCACGUUAUGGUGGGGACUCAGUGGAGACCGCCGGGGUCAACUCGGAGGAAGGUGGGGAUGACGUCAAGUCAUCAUGCCCCUUAUGUCCAGGGCUUCACGCAUGCUACAAUGGCUGGUACAGAGAGUGGCGAGCCUGUGAGGGUGAGCGAAUCUCGGAAAGCCGGUCUCAGUUCGGAUUGGGGUCUGCAACUCGACCUCAUGAAGUCGGAGUCGCUAGUAAUCGCAGAUCAGCAACGCUGCGGUGAAUACGUUCCCGGGGCU